UAUGCUUCUCGGCCUUUUGGCUAAGAUCAAGUGUAGUAUCUGUUCUUAUCAGUAUAAUCUUUCUCUUUUUUAAAUUUUUACUUUUUAUUUGAUGUAUUUCAAAUUUACUGAUAAGGUGCAAGAGUAGUACAAAGAAUUCUCAUAAAUCCCUCACCAGGGGGACUCACU
rnacentral:snRNA from 1 species